GCCACGGUGGUCUAGCGGUUAGAACGCUGGCCUUGUAAUCCUGGGGUCUGGGGUUCGAUUCCCGGCGGUGCCC
rfam:Zootermopsis nevadensis contig13996, whole genome shotgun sequence.